GUUUGCACUAUAGUUUAUAAUAGUGUAAAACAUGCAGGAACCUAAAGAAGAAGAAAAAAAAAAUCAUAAUAAUAACAAAAAUCAAAUUUCCUUUCAUAAACCUGCUACAACACAAACCAGUCAAGGUUAAAGGCGUAUCAGAUCAUUGCGUAUAAUUUAAAUAGUAAUAUUAUUACGUAUACCCAUAUAUUUUAUCAUAGAACAUAUUAUGCUUUAAAUCGCCUUAUCUAGUUGUGCAAUAAUAUUAUCAUUCAUUUUUUUGCGUACAAAAUGUAAAACUAAUUAAUUUUUAUAUUUUAUCUCUAUGCUGCAGAUGAUGGGCAGAUCAGUCGAUUUUUAAUAAGUAUAACACUUUCGAUCGUUUGUAUACUUUAUAAUAUGAAAUUUCUCGGCACAAUUUUUCACGGUCGUUAUUUACAAUGAUUCAUAGUUGCUUUCAAUAUUAUACAUAUUUAUUUUUACAUAAAGUAAAUGUUUAUUCCAUAUAAUAUAUCCUAUACCUUACGCCUUAUUCAGUGCGAAAAAGUAUAUCUAAACACGUAUAUGGUAGCCAUAGAUUCUAAAGGUUUUCAACUACAAAAGGUUGAUACUGUUGAUGGAUGUGCCACUGCUUAUUCGGGAGAGAAGUUGAAAGAAAGUAAUUUAAUUUUUAUCAGACAAUAACGAUAAACAAUCGUAAACGAUAAACGAUAGCGAACGGUGUGUGCAUUAGUCGUGAUUUUCCAUCUUGCUUCCUACCUAGACAAGAACUUAAAACUUCAUCCAGAAAUCGACAAAAACCGUCAGUUUUUCCCGUUUAUCAGGAAAACUACAGAGAAGAUCGAAAAAAUAACUUCCCUAACGCACUAACUAGAAGUAAUAUUCCUAUACAUUUUUAGAUUGGUACAG